AAAAUACUCCCUCCAUCCCAAAAUUCUUGUCUUAGAUUUGUCUAAAUACGGAUGUAUCUAGUUACAUUUUAGUGUUAGAUACACCCAUAUCUAGACAAAUCUAAGACAAGAUUUUUGGGACGGAGGAAGUACUAA
rnacentral:pre_miRNA from 1 species